rnacentral:rRNA from 1 species
GUUUGAUCAUGGCUCAGGACGAACGCUGGCGGCGCGCCUAACACAUGCAAGUCGAACGAGCGAGAGAUAGCUUGCUUUCUCGAGCGAGUGGCGAACGGGUGAGUAACGCGUGAGGAACCUGCCUCAAAGAGGGGGACAACAGUUGGAAACGACUGCUAAUACCGCAUAAGCCCACGACCCGGCAUCGGGUAGAGGGAAAAGGAGCAAUCCGCUUUGAGAUGGCCUCGCGUCCGAUUAGCUAGUUGGUGAGGUAACGGCCCACCAAGGCGACGAUCGGUAGCCGGACUGAGAGGUUGAACGGCCACAUUGGGACUGAGACACGGCCCAGACUCCUACGGGAGGCAGCAGUGGGGAAUAUUGCACAAUGGGGGAAACCCUGAUGCAGCGACGCCGCGUGGAGGAAGAAGGUCUUCGGAUUGUAAACUCCUGUUGUUGAGGAAGAUAAUGACGGUACUCAACAAGGAAGUGACGGCUAACUACGUGCCAGCAGCCGCGGUAAAACGUAGGUCACAAGCGUUGUCCGGAAUUACUGGGUGUAAAGGGAGCGCAGGCGGGAAGACAAGUUGGAAGUGAAAUCCAUGGGCUCAACCCAUGAACUGCUUUCAAAACUGU